GGUAAAACCAGCACCUCAAGUGGUCAGGAUGAUUAUUGGGCCUAAAGCAUCCGUAGCCGGCUCUGUAAGUUUUCGGUUAAAUCUGUACGCUCAACGUACAGGCUGCCGGGAAUACUGCAGAGCUAGGGAGUGGGAGAGGUAGACGGUACUCGGUAGGAAGGGGUAAAAUCCUUUGAUCUAUUGAUGACCACCUGUGGCGAAGGCGGUCUACCAGAACACGUCCGACGGUGAGGGAUGAAAGCUGGGGGAGCAAACCGGAUUAGAUACCCGGGUAGUCCCAGCUGUAAACUAUGCAAACUCAGUGAUGCAUUGGCUUGUGGCCAAUGCAGUGCUGCAGGGAAGCCGUUAAGUUUGCCGCCUGGGAAGUACGUACGCAGGUAAAACCAGCACCUCAAGUGGUCAGGAUGAUUAUUGGGCCUAAAGCAUCCGUAGCCGGCUCUGUAAGUUUUCGGUUAAAUCUGUACGCUCAACGUACAGGCUGCCGGGAAUACUGCAGAGCUAGGGAGUGGGAGAGGUAGACGGUACUCGGUAGGAAGGGGUAAAAUCCUUUGAUCUAUUGAUGACCACCUGUGGCGAAGGCGGUCUACCAGAACACGUCCGACGGUGAGGGAUGAAAGCUGGGGGAGCAAACCGGAUUAGAUACCCGGGUAGUCCCAGCUGUAAACUAUGCAAACUCAGUGAUGCAUUGGCUUGUGGCCAAUGCAGUGCUGCAGGGAAGCCGUUAAGUUUGCCGCCUGGGAAGUACGUACGCA
rnacentral:rRNA from 1 species